AGCGUCAUCGCCAGCCGUGGUGAACGGGAAGCCGGUGCGAUACCGGCGCGGCCCUCGCCACUGUGAUCGGGAAUGCGACGUUCCACCUCUGCCACGCCUGCCGCGGCGGAAGCCACUGAGGCCAUCCGGUCUUGGGAAGGCUGGAACGCACGCGUCACACCCGUCAGCCAGGAGACCGGCCACGGCUACGCAAGACCC
rnacentral:ncRNA from 2 species